rnacentral:lncRNA from 1 species
AGACGACGACAGGAUGCGAAAUUCUAUAAUACCUGUGGAAAAGCAUUAAGUUUCACAAGAUGGAAUGCGGGCGAGCCAAAUGAUUCUGGGAUUGAAAACUGUGCCCAGAUGUAUUCGAAGGGCGCAGGGAAAGGAAAAUGGAAUGACACCAAAUGUAACACCCGCUAUCAAGGAUACAUUUGCCAAUUUAAAGCACACAGAUGUGA